rnacentral:lncRNA from 1 species
CCUGAGCCCCUCCCCUUACACACUGGGUAUAAAACUCUGAAACUCCCUGAACUCGGGGUUCAGGGGAUUGAUUGAUUACAGCAAAGGCUGUGCCCUCUGAACCUGGCUGCAGCCAAAUAAAACUGUUUCCUGCUGUCUUGGUGCCUUGCCUCGUUUGUCUCUACAACAUUUUUGGUGACCCAGAUGGGACCGAGGAGGUAAGGAAGGCUAUUGUGCCUCUCUUGUCUCCAGGGACCUGCUUCCCUGGGGCGAUGGGGGACAGUGGUCUCCUUGGCACGCCCAGGCCACUCUUGGCCUGAAGGAGGAUUGACUCACCCAGCGCCCUGGGGCUGCCACCCCAGAACACAACGGAACCCACAGGCAGCAAGAACCAGAAUUAGGGUUUUGGAGCACCGCCCAGCUGAACAGGUAGGACCCGGGUCCAUUUGGUUUUGCAGCCCACCUGACUUCCCCUUCGAGGCCUAAGCGGGUGGAAGAGAGGCUUGAUCACUCUUUGUUGGGUCCCAAGUACCCUCCAAAGAGGUUGGAGCUGAAAGGGACCUGGGGAGUCACCCGAGUAUUCUCUGUUCGGGGUCAGCGAGCAGAGGGGAAACUGUGACCCCCUUUCCGUUUGGUUUGGCAUUGUUGGAAUCUGGGCGGUGUGGAAAUUCUGUCCUGGCAUGUCUGUGUGAAAGUGUGUGAAAGUGUGUGAAUGAGACGGACAAAGGGAGGGUUCCGACCCAACCCGAGGGCCGAAGCGAGUGCAGAGUCCUGAUCCGCGGUUCGUGGCCCCUCAGUCUAUGGCGGGAUUUCACCAACCAAUGUCCAGGUGAAAGCUCCAGGUCAGGGCUGAUACCGACCCGCAAGGCCAAGAGGGCCCCAGGUCCCGCGAGGGGAGCGGCCGGAGAUGGACGAAGCGGAGUCUUGUCCUAAGUGUGUUCUGUUCUAAGUGUGCGACACCGAUGCAGGGUGGAACGUGGGAGGCACCUAAGGAAACCGAGCCUCUGGAAUGUGUGUGAGAAGCCUUUAGGAAGGUUUUCCUGGUGACUGUGGGUGAGAGUCACUCCCCAAAGGUGGCAUACUCUGUGAAUCAGAGUGGCCCACCCAAGAGGUGGGCUGGCCACCAGAGGAUCUUUAGAUGAGAGAGUCAUGGCUGAGGUCCUUUGAUUGCUGUUGGAACCCUGAACCAAUUCUCUUAUAUUGACUGCUGUCAAGAGAGAGUGCAGAAACAGCCCCCUUGGUUGAGAGCCUGUCUGGAUGGACAGUCCAAGCUGAUGUUGGCCAGGAGCACAGUGGUCUCUAAGACCCAGCAGAAAGCAGCUAACCAGAAAACCUGACUAGGAAAGACAGGAAGGGAAACAGUUUUCCCCGUGAGCCAGAAGAGGACCCAAGACCAACUUUGCCAAGACCACGGGGACAGCAGACUGUCCCCUAGCCUCCUUGUCCUCAGAGGCAACAAAUGAUGGCCCCCCCAUACUGGCUAUUCCUUCCUCUGUGAUGUCCUCAGAGCCAAUGGCUUCCUAGGACCAGAGACUCUUUCACCUCCCAAGAUGAAGGUGGGAGAUUUGUCCCAAGACCAGAGCCAUAACUCAGAUGAGAAUUCUCCAGCUGCCCCAGCAAGGGAUCAAAGGACCUGCCCAUGUUGGCCAGAAGGGAAAUGUCUGAGGGAGACAAAGCAGUUUUGUGUGCCAGCCUUUCUCCAGCAUUGAGCUCAUAAGCUGGAAAAACCAUCCUCCCUCCGACACGGAGAAACCCUGGGCCAUGAGUGAUCUGAUGCAGCCCAUUAUCCAGACCAGGGAUGGACCCCAGCAAAGAAGAAGUUCUAAAAUAAAGAGAUGUCAAGAAGCCCUCAGAGAAAGUGUAAAAAAAAAAAAAUAGAAAAAAAAAGAAGAAAACACACUGUCUGUGCCCAGGAGUUAGAAGGAGUCGGAGCCAGCCCUGAGCCCCAGCCUAAGCCGAGCGCGUCUGCAGACAGACAGAGCCCAGAUAAGCCUCCCAAUGCUCCAGCACCUCCCUCUGGCACCCUCCAUAGCCCUGAACAUUUCUCUGGGCCCCACAUCUGCCUAAGGCCCCUCUGCUGUAUGAAACUGGCAGCAAUGAUCAAAAGAGAGGUGCCCAACUGACUUGGAGCUAAAUGUCCAGGCCACCGCCGCUGCUGCCCCUCUCCCUGCCCAGAGGUGCCCGUGGGAGGAGGGGCACCAUGCAAAUACUGCAGCCGCAAUGCAAGUUUGUCAGUGAAGAAAUGUACAGGCGCAAGCAACAGGUGAUCAAUACAGCCUUUGUGGGACAGGCUCAGAGAGCCAUUUGCCAAAAAUUACAAUCCUAGAGCGCUUUACUGAGAAGUGUGCCAGUGAGCUGAUUAAGGUGGCCGCCACAGUUUUCAUCAGUCAAGACCCAGAGACUCAAAGACAGCCAGACCAGAAAGAUAAAGAGGAGGAUGGAUCUCCUUAUACCCCAGAGUUCACUCAAAGGGGGGUCUCACCAGUACAAAGACAAUGGUCCAAAGGUUUAUAAGGAAAAACAGCGUGGCCAGAUAAAAUGGGAAGCCUCCAGUGACCUCGGCGGGCAAGCACCCACUGCCAUGCUCAAAUGCUAAGCCUGGAACAGAGAAGGAGGGAAUGUUCCCCCCAGACUGUGGCCCCAGCCCCUCCUUUCAGUUUCUUCUCACUUGCUCGGAAGUUGAUGACUGACGAAUAUGGUAAGGGUCCCGUAGACCCACACAGCUGCAUCUGAUGCACGGGACCCAGCGCCUCAGGAGGGCUCAGCGGCUGCAAGCCUCCAAAUGAACCAGGAAUAUGUUCAUGUUAACCAGUAGUGGGCCAUAGGGUGCUCACUCCAAAAGGACAUGCCACCCUGGCUCCAAGCCAUAAGUGGAUAAACUGUGCCACCAGCAGGAAGGGCCACAGAGCCCCAUGCACCCAGGCAUACUGAACAAAACACAAGCAGGGCAGCUACUCUAUACAAUUAGAACAGGCUCCCCACCUGGCAGGAGGAGAAAGCCACACAGUCAGAGAGCAACACCUAGGAGGGCACAAUGUGGCUGCCACACCAGGACCUGCACGGAACCGCACCACUGCCCUCCAACCUUGGCAGACGGCCCACGGCGAGACUGACAUAGGUGCCUUUUAUACAAAUGACGUCCCAGGUCAUCAGUCUCUGCUAAGAUUUACAUUAGAUUUAAGAGUUGUAGAAUCCUAGCAGCCAAGAUCCUGCACGGGGAGAUAACAAAAAAAAAAAAAUUCCUGUAUCUUAAAGCGCCAGAGGCUCUACGUACACCUCCCUUCCCUAAAUGACAGUUUCUCCCAGCUUGGGUACACCGUCUUUGCGAAAGCACUGGACUCUAACUUAGAAGUCCACAUCUAUCAACAAAAAGUCAAAUACCUUGGUUACCAUCUGACACAGCAACAGAACAAAACAACCACUGGGCCUCAAAAGAAACAGGAGAUCUGCUCAAUUCCAGUGCCUUCAACCUGCCAUCAGACUAGAGAAUUCUUGGGGGCUACUGGGUUCAGCCAUAUAUGGAUUCCUGACUUUUCAGUCAUGGCAAAACCCCUCUAUGAAGCCACAAAGGGGGGUGAAUGAGGUCCUCUGAUGUGGGGGCCAACUAAGCAAAAGGCCUUGGAGGACAUUAAACAAGCACUCACCAGUGCACCUGGACCAGGGCUCCCUGACCUCAGGAAGCCUUUCUUUCUCUAUGUCCUUGAUCUGUCAGGAGUGGCUCUGGGAGUUUUGACUCAGAUGCUGGGGACAUGGCACCAUCCAGUGGUCUAUUUGUCCACAAAGCUGGACUCUGUAGCCCAGGGCUGGCCACCUUUUUUCGGGGCCCUUGCAGCCACAGCUCUUCUGGUGUUGGAAGCUGAUAAACUGGCCAUGGGACAAGAACUGGUUGUCAGAGUUCCUCAUUCAAUUUUGACAUUGUUAAAAUAUAAAGGACACUAUUGGUUGACUAAUGAAAAAAAAUGGCCAAAUAUCAGGGCAUGUUAUGUGAAAACCCACGUAUCCACAUUGAGGUCGUCAGAACUCUAAACCCAACCCCUUUGCUGCCCAUUGGACCUGGAGAACCUGAUCACAAUGUGUUGAGGUCAUGGAUGAAGUGUUCUCCAGCAGACCAGACCUAACAGACCAGCCUCUCAAGGACGCUGAUGCAGAGUACUUCACACAUGGAAGCAGUUUUAUAAAAGAUGAGGUAUGUUUUGCUGGAUACGCAAUGGUCACUCUGGAUUCCACUGUCGAGGCAGAACCUCUGCCUCAGGGAACUGCAGCACAAAAAGUAAAACUUAUUGUUCUGACUCAAGCACCUCAGUUGACAGCAGGAGUCUGUGUGGAUAUUUACACAGACUCAGAAUAUGCGUUCACUACCCUUCAUGUUCACAGGCCUUAUGUAGGCUAAUUAACUCAGGAGAAAAAAAGGGGGGGGCAUGAUGUAUGGGCAAGAAAUUCUUACACUUCUGGAUGCACUGUGGGCUCCCGGGAAGGUUGUGAUUAUAUAAUGCCAAGGUCAUUGAAAGGAAAACACUGUGGUUUCUCAGGGCAACUGAGGAGCUGACAGAGAGGCCAGGUUAGCUGUCUGCAAAAAAUGGGAAGAAAAUCGAGGCCCAGGUCUAAAGGCUGCCCUUCUGCCUGGCCGACUAGCUAACAGAAAGGGAGCCAGCACACUCCCAACAUGACAGUAAGUGAUUUAAGACUGAAAAAUCUUUUUCUCCCAGGUGCAUGGUGGAGAUUUUCUGAUGGCCGGCACAGCCAUCUCGGAGAAUCUAGCCCCAGCCUUUAUCACACAAUUUCGCAGGAAAAUAUGUUGGACAUACAGCACUUGAGACAGUUCUGAGUCAACAUUUCUAUGUCCCCCAGCUCACAAGCAUCACCUGGAUGAUCUGCAACAAUGUGAGGUUUGUGCUCACAACAAUCCUUGUCAGGGGCCAGAGCUUCUACCAGGUGCCUUGCCUCAUUUGUCCCUACAACACAACCUCCUAAAGUCUCCACCACCUCCCAACAGUGCCACCAACAUGGGACCUAGCAACCAACAUUUGAGUCUUUGGGAAGCAAUUCAGAUGCAAACUAUAAUAUUUUCCUCAAAGGAAACACUAAAAGUAAGAGGUAGCUCUCACAUUUUAAAAUUUUAAGAGUCCUUUAAAAUUUCAUGUCAAAUUCACAUCUUAAAAUCUGGCUCCGAUUUAGCAAACUGCAUGUUCCCAGGUUUCAAAGUAAACCCCACAUUUUGUAAAAUAUCAAGCAAUGCAUCAACAUUAACUUUGCAUAAUUGUACAAAUAUAUUUAAAAUCUUUAACUCUUCACACUUUUUCUUCUGACUAUACUUAGAUUGAUUUUUUAAAAAGUCACCAGCUCAGGAGGCUAAGAGACGAGACUUGCAAGUUCAAAGCCAGCCUCAGGAACUUAGUGAGGUCCUAAGCAGUUUAGCGAGAACCUGUCUUAAAAUAAAAAUAAAUAAUAAACAGACAGAUAGAUAAAAAGGGAUGAGGCUCAGUGGUUAAGGACCCUUCGUUCAAUCUUAGGAAAAAAAAAAGAAGUUAUUUGCCAAUGGGUACCCAAAUAGAUAAAGUAAUAAGUUUGAGUAUGCUACAGGAGAGGGAGGGGACUAUAGUUCAAAAUAGCCUAUCGUAUAUUUUACAAAUCAAUAGAAGAAAGGAGAUUCAAGGCUCCAACAGGAAGCAAUGAUAAGGGAUGGAAGUAUUAAUUACCUUGAUUGGGUCAGUACACUUUGUAUGCAUGUAUUGCAAGAUCACACUUGUUGGGAGUCUCCCUGAGAACUCCCCGGGGCCUGUCAGACAUGGCCGGGGGCAAAUUGCCAGUGGGCGGCUAGAACUCCCUGGGCCUUUCAGAUAAGCAACAUGGAGCGGGCAAGUUACCAGUGGGCGGACAACAUGUUAUUUUGAAAAUUUUCUAAUUGGCCCUCCCGUCUUCCCCACUAGUGAAGUGUUCGUGAUCCCCAUGAAUCUUAUGCAGGGCGGACAUGCGUGCACAAUAGGUGAUGACCUGACCUUUACUAUGAUUGGCCCUGGGAGCUUUCUGGUUUAAGAUAACUGACUCUCACUUUCUAUAUAAGCUAGCACCAGCUUGCAGUAAAGUGCAUCUUCUUUGUCACUGCUAUCUGUGUGUGGGCAUUUUAAUCUCUGACAACGAGCCUUGGCCUUUCAACACUGAACACUGUAAAAUGAUGCAAUUAUUGCAGGCUAAUUAAACCAUUUAAAUUAACUUUUAUUGGCACAUUAUAAUUACAGGUACUAGUGGGACUCACCACAACAUAUUUGUACAUGCACAUAAUUUGGUCAAUUUUUUUCCUUGCACCUCCCCUUUCUGCCCUUCCUCUCCCUGGGUCCCUUCCCAUGUCCUCUACUCUACUAGUUUCCAUUUUUUUUAACUGAGGCUCAAACACAGGAGUGCUUUACCACUGAACUACAUCCCCAGCCCUUUUUCAAAUUUUUUAUUUUGAUAUAAGGUCUUCUUAAGUCACUUAAAGCCUCAUAAAUUACUGAGGUUGAUCUUGAACUUGUAAGCUUCCUGACUCGCUGGAGUUGGUGUGUGCCCCUGUGUCUGACCUGUUCUUCCAGGAGGCAGCUGCUACAUGUGAGAAACAGCCUGUGUGUACAGAGAUGAGCUGAAUUACUAAAACAUAUAAAUCUAUUAAAUAGUCCGUGACCCUCAAAGCUUUUUCAUCUGGAAGAAAACUCAGACAUUUACAAAGACAACUCAACCAGGCAGAUGAUCCUGAGUGACUUAAAAGAAGUGCAGGAGGGCAUGGAAGUAGAAAUAGGAGAGAUUGCUUUUCGGGGCUCUCAGGAAGCCUCUUAAAGUACUACUUCCUAUGGAGUUUGCACCAUGAUUGAGACACUAAACAGAUGAUCAGGUAAGUGAACAAGGCACAGGAAUGACUGGAGCCACGACGGUGUCAAGUAAAUGGCUCUUUCACAGACACAGGAGCCACAGACAAUGUGUUGGUGGAAGUCAUAAAACAGGAACUGAGCAUAAAGCGGCAACCUGGAGACUCCCAGAUGGCGGAGUAGAGGAGAACCUGUUAUCGGUGCGACUCCGAGUGAGUGGCCAGACGUUUUCCCUCACGGGGCUCUCAUUCAGGAGGCUAAGCUUCGUGGGGCACGUGGCAGGAUUUAAACAGUGGUCUGUGGCAAGGCGCCCAGGACAUGGGGAAGCCGGCCAGCAUGGCGGAGCUGGGACCCGCGCAGAUGCAGAGUGGAGCCCCGCAGAGUUGUGGCAGCUUGGAGACGCAGGGUCACUGACCCUUCAGGGCUGGAGUGGGUCAGACUGUGACCCGUGCCGCCACAGGGCAGCGGACUGAGGCCCAAAUCCUGGAGGCAGCUAGGAACAGAAGAGCCUGGCUCCCUGCACCUCAUGGACGCCCUGGCAUGGCAAUGGCAGCUCCAGGAAAAUGUACCUCUUCAGCUUUGGGCAGAUGCAGCAGACAAUGCAAUGGCAUCUCAACAGGUGUGUGAGUCCCCGCCCACCCCCGCACCCAGCUGUGGUAACUCAGAACCUUUCUCCCCAGCUCCCGGGGCGUGGCUAGCAGAGGGAAGGCCACAGAACAGGCUGCCUCUCCAACUCCCCUCUCCACAGCUGCGCGACUUGGUGACUUGGUGACCACCCCACACAGAGGUAGCGCUCAGCUGAUCAGCAGCACAGGGCUCCGCAAGCCCCCAGUGAACCCAGGGCUGCCGACAAGAGAUCCAUCCACUGGGCCUGGUGGGCAGGAGAGGGGAGGGGAUAGAGACCAGGAGCAGCCCAAAGAGAUGGGAUUGGAGAGGGAGAGCUGCCCCACACCCAUUGCUUCCCCCACCCUGAGGGCAGAGACUCAACCUGGAACGUACUGGAAGAGAAGAAAGCAGAAUUCUCAGAGUGCAUUUUUUUUUUCCUUUUUCCUUCUUUCCUUUUUAUCUUUCUCUUAUCUCUUUUCCUCUCUCUUUUUUCAUUUUGCUGUAUCUCCUUUACCCCCUUUUUUCUUCUUCUUUUCUUUUUACUUUUAUUCCUCCUUCUCUUCCUCUCUCAACCUCCCAAGUGUUACUACUUCUACUGUGUGUAAUUUACUAAAUGCAAAUAGGUGUUUGUUUCUAUGCUUCUUUUUGUCCUCCCACAUACUUAACUAUCCUAAAAUACCUCCUGUCUAUUCUCCUGUUAAUAACCCCCUUCAUUAGAGCUCUCCUCCAAAGUAGCUAAGAUAUAUUAACCUCAUACCCUCACAUCUUCCCCCCUAAACAUAAAGUCCUACGACCGACCCUCAGUUCUCUAUACGCCACCAGAAACUGUAUGCCUUUUAUGAAGCUAAUGAAUAUAUUUUAAAUUAUAAUUGAAGCCAACAUCUGUAGACAUAGAGACUUACUAUAAAUAUAUUAAUAACAAAAACUAGCUCAUAAAGUGUAUAGUUGAUAUUGGGAACUGUUUACAUUGUCUCCCCAUCACAAAGGAGAGAUCUCAAACUAUACAAGAGCAAUACAAAUCUAUAGGAGAAAAACAAUAACACUACAGUCAUACAGAGCUGGAAAGAAACGUGAAAAACAUGAAAAGACAGGGAAAGAAAGGACCACAAACAAUGCAGGACAAUUCAACAUUAGAGGAGGUACAGCUAUAGCAGAAAGAAUGUCAGAUAAAGAUUUCAGGGUAUACAUGGUUCAGAUGAUCUGGAAUCUCAAGGAAGACUUUAGAUAGCAAAUGCAGACAACGAAAGAUAACUUUGACAAUGAAUUACAUAAACAAAUCCAAGAAGCAAAAAUAUCAACUCUACAGGGAGAUAGAGGUCAAACAAAAAAAAAAAAUCCUGGAAAUGAAGAAAAUAAUAAACCAAAUUAAAACUCAAAUGAGAAUAUCACCAGCAGAAUAGAACACAAAGUAAAUCAUCUCGAAAAGAGUGUAGACAGCACAGAGAUACUGAUAAGAAACCCGGAGCAGAACAUUCAAGAAAUUUGGGAUAGCAAAAAAAGACCAAAUUUAAGAGUUAUUGGGAUAGAAGAAGGUUAGAGGUUCAAACCAAAGUAAUGGGCAAUGUGUUCAAUGAAAUAAUUUUAGAAAACUUUCCAGACAUGAAGAAUGAAACGGAAAUCCAAAUCCUAAGAGCCUACAGGACGCCGAACGUACAAAACUACAAGAGAUACACACCCAGACACAUUAUAAUGAAAAUGCCCAACAAUACAGAAUAAGGAGAGAAUUUUAAAAGCCACAAGAGAAAGGAAGCAGAUUACAUUUAGGGGUAAACCAAUUAGGUUAACUACUGAUCUUUCAACACAGACUAUGAAAGCUAGAAGAUCCUGGAACAACAUAUUCAAACACUGAAAGAUAAUGGGUUCCAACCAAGAAUCUUGUAUCCAGCAAAAUUAAGCUUCAGGCUUGAAGAUGAAAUAAAAUCCUUCCACUUUAAACAAAAGUUAAAAGAAUUUGCAGCUAGAAACUGGUGCUUCAAAACGUCCUUGGCAAAACAUUACAUGAAGAGGAAAUGAAAAAUAACAAUGAAAACCAACAGUGGGAGGUAGUACAAUAAAGGAAAAACUAAUCAAAGAGGAAAAACAAAUCAACUUAAGUAACAAAAAUAAACAAAUAUGGCUAGAAAUACAAACCAUAUCUCAAUAGUAACCGUAAAUGUUAAGGCUUAAACUCACGAAUCAAAAGACAUAGGCUAGUAGGCUGGAUUAAAAAAAAAAAAGAUCCAGCAAUAUGCUGCCUACAGGAGACUCAUCUGAUAGGAAAAGACAUACACAGACUGAAGGUGAAAGGUUGGGAAAAAUCAUACCACUCACAUGGACCUCAGAAACAAGAAGGGGUGUCCAUACUCAUAUCAAAUAAAAUAGAUUUCAAGCCAAAGUUAAUCAAAAGGGAUAAAGAAGGACACUACAUACUGCUCAAGGGAACCAUACACCAACAAGACAUAACAAUCAUAAAUAUAUAUGCCCCAAACAAUGGUGCAGCUAUGUUCAUCAAACAAACUCCUCUCAAGUUCAAGAGUCAAAUACAAAACAAUAAUCAUGGGUGAUUUUAACACACCUCUUUCACCACUGGACAGAUCUUCCAAACAAAAGUUGAAUAAAGAAACUACAGAACUCAAUAACACAAUUAAUAACUUAGACUUAAUUGACACAUAUAGAAUAUACCACCCAACAUCAAGCGGAUACACUUUUUUCUCAGCAACACAUGGAUCCUUCUCAAAAAUAGACCAUAUAUUACGUCACAGGGCAACUCUUAGCAAAUAUAAGGAAGUAGAGAUAUUACCAUUCAUUUUAUCUGAUCAUAAUGGAAUGAAAUUGGAAAUCAACAAAAAAAUAAGGAAGAAAAAGUCCUACAUCACAUGGAAAAUGAACAAUAUGCUACUGAAUGAACAAUAGGUUACAGAAGACAUCAAGGAGGAAAUUAAAAAAUUCUUAGAGGUAAAUGAAAACACAGACACAACAUAUCGAAAUCUCUGGGACACUAUGAAAGCAGUACUUAGAGAAAAAUUCAUUGCCUGGAGGUCAUUCCUUAAAAGAAGAAAAAGCCAACAAAUAAAUGACCUCACACUACAUCUCAAAGCCCUAGAAAAAGAAGAACAAAUCAGCAGCAAAUGCAGUAGAAGGCAAGAAAUAAUUAAAAUCAGAGCUGAAAUCAAUGAAAUUAAAACAGAAGAAACAAUUGAAAAAACUGACAAAACUAAAAGUUGGUUCUUUGAAAAAUUAAAUAAGAUCGACAGACCCUUAGCCAUGCUAAUGAAGAGAAGAAGAGACAGAACCCAAAUUACUAGCAUAUGGGAUGAAAAAUGCGAUAUCACAACAGACACUUCAGAAAUACAGAAGAUAAUUAGAAAUUAUUUUGAAACCUUAUACUCUAAUAAAAUAGAAGAUAGUGAAGGCAUCGAUAAAUUCCUUAAGUCAUAUGAUCUGCCCAGACCAAUAUCAAGUGAGGAAAUAGAAGAAGCCAUCAAAAGGCUACCAACCAAGAAAAGCCCAGGACUGGACGGAUAUACAGCAGAGUUUUACAAGACCUUUAAAGAAGAACUAAUACCAAUACUCUGCAAUCUAUUUCAGGAAAUAGAAAAAGAGGGAGUACUUCCAAAUUCAUUCUACAAGGCCAAUAUCACUCUGAUUCCAAAAUCAGACAAAUACACCUCAAAGAAAGAAAACUUCAGACCAAUAUCUCUAAUGAAUAUAGAUCCAAAAAUCCUCAAUAAAAUUCUGGCAAAUUGGAUAUAAAAACAUAUCAAAAAGAUCAUGCACCAUGAUCAAGUGGGAUUCAUCCCCAGGAUGCAAGGUUGGUUCAACAUAUGGAAAUCAAUAAACGUAAUUCACCACAUCAAUAGACUUAAAGAUAAGAACCAUAUGAUCAUCUCGAUAGAUGCAGAAAAAGCAUUUGACAAAAUACAGCACCCCUUUAUGUUCAAAACACUAGAAAAUACACUAAGGAUAACAGGAACUUACCUCAACAUUGUAAAAGCUAUCUAUGCUAAGCCUCAGGCUAGCAUCAUUCUCAAUGGAGAAAAAUUGAAGGCAUCCCCUCUAAAAUCUGGAACAAGACAGGGAUGCCUUCUCUCACCACUUCUAUUCAAUAUAGUUCUUGAAACAUUGGCCAAAGCAAUUAGACAGACGAAAGAAAUUAAAGGAAUAACUAUAGGAAAAGAAGAACUUAAACUAGCACUAUUUGCUGAUGAUAUGAUUCUAUACCUAGAAGAUCCAAAAAACUCUACCAAGAAACUUCUAGAUCUAGUAAAUGAAUUCAGCAAAGUGGCAGGAUAUAAAAUCAACACUCAUAAAUCAAAGGCAUUCCUGUAUAUCAGUGACAAAUCCUCUGAAAAGGAAAUGAGGAAAACUAUCCCAUUCACAAUAUCCUCAAAAACAAAUAAUGAAAUAAAAUACUUGGGAAUCCACUUAACAAAACGGGUGAAAGAUCUAUACAAUGAAAACAAUAGAGCCCUAAAGAGAGAAAUAGAAGAAGACCUUAGAAGAUGGAAAGAUCUACCUUGCUCAUGGAUAGGCAGAAUUAAUAUUAUUAAAAUGACCAUAUUACCAAAAGCACUAUACAGAUUUACCGCAAUUCCAAUCAAAAUCCCAAUGGAAUUCCUCAUAGAAAUAGAGAAAGCAAUCAUGAAAUUCAUCUGGAAAAAUAAGAGACCCAGAAUAGCUAAGUAGUUCUAAGCAGGAAGAGUGAAACAGGUGGUAUCGCUAUACCAGACCUUAAACUAUACUACAGAGCAAUAGUAACAAAAACAGCAUGGUACUGGCACCAAAACAGGCUGGUAGACCAAUGGUACAGAAUAGAGGACACAGAGACUAACCCACAAAAUUACAACUAUCUUAUAUUGAACAAAGGUGCCAAAAGCAUGCUCUGGAGAAAGGAUAGCAUCUUCAACAAAUGGUGCUAGGAAAACUGGAAAUCCAUAUGCAACAAAAUGAAAUUGAAUCCCUAUCUCUCACCAUGCACAAAAGUUAACUCAAAAUGGAUCAAGGAUCUAGGAAUUAAACCAGAGACUCUGCGCAUAAUAGAAGAAAAAGUAGGCCCUAAUCUCCAUCACGUGGGGCUAGGCCCCAACUUCCUUAAUAAGACGCCUAUAGCACAAGAAUUAAAACCAAGAAUUAACAAAUGGGAUGGAUUCAAACUAAAAAGUUUUUUUCUCAGCAAGAGAAAUAAUAUGUGAGGUGAAUAGGGAGCCUAUAUCCUGGGAACAAAUUUUUACCCCUCACACAUCAGAUAGAGCUCUAAUCUCUAGGGUAUAUAAAGAGCUCAACAAGAUAAGCACCAAAAAAAAAAUAAUCCAAUCAAUAAAUGGGCCAAGGACCUGAACAGACACUUCACAGAAGAGGUUAUACAAUCAAUCAACAAAUAUAUGAAAAAAUGCUCAUCAUCUCUAGCAAUCAGAGAAAUGCAAAUUAAAACCACUCUAAGAUAAGUAACCACUCCAGUAAAAGUGGCAGCCAUUCUGAAGACAAACAACAACAAGUGCUGGUGACGAUGCAGGGAAAAAGGCACACUCAUACUCUGCUGGUGGGACUGCAAAUUGUUGCAGCCAAUUUGGAAAGCAGUAAUGGAGAUUCCUUGGAAAGCUGGGAAUGGAACCACCAUUUGACCCAGCUAUCCCUCUUCUUGGACUAUACCCAAAGGACUUAAAAACAGCAUACUACAGGGACACAGCCACAUCAAUGUUUAUAGCAGCACAAUUCACAAUAGCUAAACUGUGGAGCCAAACUAGAUGUCCUUCAGUGGAUGAAUGGAUUAAAAAAUGUGGCAUUUAUACACAAUGGAAUAUUACUCAGCACUAAAAAUAACAAGAUCAUGGCAUUUGCAGGGAAAUGCAUGGCAUUAGAGCAGAUUAUGCUAACUGAAGUUAGCCAAUCCCUAAAAACAAAUGCCAAUGGGGAGGGGGUGACUCAAAAUGGGGUAAGGAGGAAGAGCAUUGGAAGAAGAUUACCUCUAGAUAGGGAAGGUGGGUGGGAGGGAAAGGGAGGGAGAAAGGAAAUUGCAUGAAUGGUGGAAGGAGACCUUCAUCAUUGUACAAAAUACGUGUAUGAAGAUGUGAAUUUGGUGUCAACAUAUCUUGUAUACAGAGAUAUGAUAAAUUGUGGUAUAAAGGUGUAUUAAUAAUUGUAAUGCAAAAUAAUAAUAAUAAUAAAGCUCACGUAAAAAAAUAAAUAAAUAAAAAUAAAAAAAAAUAAAUAAAACAGGAACCAACUAGUGAGAACUCCCCCAUAAGAAGGCACGGUUUUCACAGCUCUAGCGGUGCAAGCAGGAGAGUUGGGGGGAGAGAAACAGAAACAAAGAUAAAGUGAGAAAGAGACAGACAGGUGUGCAUGUGCACACACACACACACACACACACAGAGGACAAAACAUCUCAAAGCACCCAGAAUACAGCUAUCCCCAACUCGAAACAGGACAGGGAAGAACCUAAGUGCUCUUGGGAAAAGACAUCACAGAACACGGACAUCUGAGGGUGAACAGUGUGGAGGUGAUUGAGAAGCAUCUAUUUUGACUUUUUAAAUUCAACAUAUUAAGGCAUAAAACUCUACAAAUUACACUGAUGCACAUUCACAUGCUUACAGUCUAUAGGAUUGUUUCCUCCCAUCAUUCACUUUCCACUAGACUUAGCUUCCACAGAUGCCAGCUGUUUUCCAUAGGAACCAGCCCAGUGUGAAGGUUCAGUACUAGUCUCUGCUACAUUACAUUUGACCAAAAAGCAUUUGCCAAAGCAAAUCAUAUGGUCAAGUCUAAAGUCAGGGUUUGCAGGGAAUGAACACUUGGAGGUGUGAUUCAUUUGGGAUCACCAGUGUAGCAGUCUAGCACAAUCCCCUCAUCUGUCCAGAUACUCAAAGAGGAUCAAGGUCAUUCCAGGUGCAGCCUCUGGGAUAUCGGCACAGUCCUUUCAUGUGCCACAGCAAGGCUGCUCAGGACCUUGUUCUGUUCUCAUCGCCUACUGAUAUCUGGUUCCAAUACAUUGAUGAUACCCUGUUACUGGAGAAAAUCGUAUUCUGUUAUACUUAUAAAUACACGAUUAUUAUUUGUCAAUUAAGAAUAAAAUAAACCAAUAUAAUCAGUGAGCCUCUAGGUGGGCAAACAAAGAAAAAAAAAGAAGACACAAAUCACCAAUACCAGAAAUUAAAUAGAUAGCAUCGAUACAGAUCACAUGGACAUCAAAAGGACAAAUAAAGGAAUACCAUAAACAAAUCUAUGCCCACAAACUCAAUAACCUACAUAAAAUGGAAUGAUUUCUUGAAAGGCAAAUAUGCCAAAUCUAUCACAAAAAGAAAUGAACAAAUUGAAUAGGACUGCAUCUAUCUAAGAUGCUAAAUUAAUAAUAAAUCAUAACAACCUUCCCAAACAGAAAGCACCAGGCCUAGAGUAGUUCCAAAUUAAUCCUAACAUACAUUUGAGGAAGAAAUUAUGUCAGCUGCAAGAUUCAAGAUGGCAGCCUAGAGGAAGCCUGCAUUCCUCGUUGCUCUGUGACCUGGGACUCCAGCAGCAGGAGUACUGCUUCUUUGUGAGGUGGGUGAAAGAGGGAUUUCAUUAAAACUCCAUAUUGGUUGGCCAGGGUAUCUUAGAGACUCAGAAAUUUGGGUCUAUUAAACUAAGAAGAAAGACUACAUUGGAGCCAAGCCAGUUGCCAAUUUAGUAUGGAACAUCCUGAGAUCCGAAAAGGAGCCGGCCCUUAGUUGAUCCAGGGGCUAGACUGUGCACUGGUACAUGAAAAGUGCCCACGUUUCCCAAAUGCCACAGAGAGCUGAAGAAGGAGCCAUCCUGAGGUUGCCACAUUGCAGAUGCUGCUGCAAGAGCUGGAAGACCUGAGCAAACAUGGCUACAAGGUCCGAGCAAGUGCCUGCCCUUUGACCUAGGCGAUGCCGAGCAGAAUAAGAGCAAAACAGGUGGAGAGCAAACUUUACCAAGGGGGAUUCUAGUCAGAAAAGGGAAGGGGAGCCCAAUUCACUUCCCCCUUUGAAUCUGGUAGAUCAUGUGACCAGCUAGGCACAUCAGGAAUCUGAAGAGGCAGGUGUGACUAAGCCCAGGGACUAAGCCCAGCAAGCCUGGACAGGCAGGUUCAUGGGCAGCAGAAGGACUGAAGAAUUGGCUCCCCGACCCAGCAAGUGAAAUCCUAGGGAGACUCCCAAGAUCCAGACUCUCAGCAGAUUGACAACUGCCAGGCCCUAGGGGUGUACCCAUAUAAUCUCUGCAGAGCAGGCACCACCCAGCAAUGGCCCUGUGGCCUCAUUAGACCUCAUGGAACUCUGCAGCUGCUCCAGCCUGGGAAUCCCUCCAUGUGCUCUGAGCAGACAGCACUUCCCAUCCUGCCUAGUCCUGGUGAGAAGGGAAGCGGAUAAUUUUUGGACCAACUUCAGACUUAGGUCACUCCAGCUGGCAGCUUGGUGAACAACACAAAAAGAGGAAAGAUUUGACAACCCUCAGCCCUUCUUCUCACACUCAGUGCACAGCUCAAGAAAACAGGAAAAGAAAGACAACCAGGCACAGCCAGUGGCCAUCUACUCUCAUGCACUAUUUUGACCAUCUCAAUGGAGAUGCCUCCUUAGUUUUCCGUUAACAAUCUUUUUUUUCCUUCUGUGUGUGUGUGUGUGUGUGUGUGUGCGCACGGUGCGCCUGUGUGUGCUGUGCUAAUUGGUUCACAGACUAUAUAUGUAUACAUUUGUUUCUUUUUUUCCCAUUGCCUUGCCUUUCAGGGUUAGGGUUUUUCAUUACUAUAUUUUGAUUUUUGUUUUCGUAUCGUUUUUCAUUUGUGUUUCUCUUGUUUCUUUUUCUCUCUUUUCUUCUGCUAACAGCCAAAUUCUAUUACUCUUUCACUCUCCGUGUAUUUUGUUUCUUACAUUUUUCUCCUCCUUUCUUAUCACUAUCAUAUCCUACAUUCUAUUUACUUUUUGAAAUUAUAAACUCUUUUUGACCUUCCUACCUGUACAUUUUCUUUUCUGUAAAUUAACUAUUUUCUUACCAUCUUUUAGCACUAAUUGUUUUUCUAUAAGCCCUGCCCCCAAUAUUAAUGCUGUUGCAAUUGUUACUGCUAUGGGUGACAUAGCUGACAUCUGUUGUUUGCUUUGAUGCCAGAUAUAGUUCACGGUUACUUAUCGUUUUUGGUGAUGGCAAUUGCUAACCCUAUCAUUUCUGUUUAUUGUGGUGCGUUAACAUUAUAGAUGGCAUAGUAGAAACCAAUGCUGUAUAUUGUUUGCAUUGGUUGUUGCUAUUGUUGUUUCCCCUUAUUCUGUGAGGUUCUGGGAACCUACAGAGACACUACAAGUUCACAGGGUAGAAACUCUGCUGCUGAAUUAAACCAAAAGACAGCUUACCUUGCUCUACACACCAAUUAAUGACACUCAAUCUUCAGCUAUACUUUAAUACAAAGAAUCAAAGACACAAAAACCCAAACUUAUGACCAAGCCCCAAGUAGAAACUGCUGGGGUUGGUCCCCCAGUCUCACCUAAGGACAUUCAUUGCUAUAGUAAAAACAGAGAGAAAUGGACACCACACCCAUGAAAGGGUCUCAAUACAGGUCAUUCUAGGACACUUUAGGAAAUGAAAACUGCCCUAAAAAGGACCUCACAGAGUGGAGGAGAAAUUCCUUCCAAUAGAUGAAAUAAAACAACACAGGAAUACAAAAAAUAUUUAAAAACAAUGACACCUCCUAAAGGCCAUACUUCAAUAGUAAAUGAUGACAAAAAUACUGAAGUGGAUGAAAUAUCAGAUAAGGAACUCAAAAGAAUCAUUUAAAAAUGAUAUCAUCUAUAUUAGCCUCCCCACACUUAAAUACUCAGAAAAAACUAACAAAAUAUUUGUGGGCUCUGUGUGAAAAAGAACUAAUAAACUGUUACGGAAUAAACCAAAGGAUUAAAUGAAUGAGGAGACAGUUGAUGUUCACAUGGAUAGAAAAACUGAAUAUCAUUAAGAUGUCAGUUCUUUCCAACUCAGCUCUACAGAGUGAAUGCAAUCCCAACAGAAUCCCAGCAAGGUAAUUUGUGGAGCCUGAAAUACUGAUUUUUAAAGUUUGUAAAAGAGAGGCAAAAACCCAGGAUAGUGAAAACAACACUGGGGAUAAACAAGUGGCUGAUAAUACCUGACUUCAAGACCUACUGUGGAGCAACACUCAUCCAGGACAGUGGGAUAUUGGAGAAAGAACAGAAAACAGUCAGUGGAACAGCAUGGACAGCCCAGAAGCAGACCCUCAUCAGUAGAGCCAAACUGAAGCGGAGGGGAACACAGCUGCGCGGAGCAGAGAUCCUUCCAGCAAGUGGGGCUGCCUGAUCUGGACGUCCCCAUCACCACGGCUACCACCACAUGUGGAAGGAGAGACUCAGAGAGAAAGGAGGGAGGCCAGGUGCAGUGAAUCAGGCCUGGAAUCCCAGCAACUCGGGAGGCUGAGGCAGGAGGAUCACAAGUUCAAAGCCAGCCUCGCAACUUAGUGACACCCUAAGCAUACUGAGACCCUGUCUCAAAAUAAAAAGGACUGGGGAUGUGGCUCAGUGGUUAAGAAGGAAGAAAAGAAAGGAAGGAAGGAGGGAGGGAGGGAGGAAAGGAAGGAAGGAGAAGGGGGAAGAAAAAUACUUGUAGAAAUAAGGGCUGGAAAUUUCCUGAAUCUAGGUUCAAUGUUUCCCCUCUUUAAAAAUAACAAAAAAAAUAUCCAUUCCUAGACACAUCAGAGUUUCUACCCUGUGAAAAGGCAAAGAGAAAAUCUUAAAGGGCGCAGAGGAAAAAUUCUCCAGAUUCAUCCUUUUUCUAGCAAAUAAAUGUCAAGAUAUACUCUGUCACGUAUAAGUAAGGACAAAUUUUUAAAAAACAAAAAACAAAAACAACUCCCCUGUGCACAAGGAUGAGAUUUUCAGCUGACUUCCAAUCAGAAACAAUUGAAGGAGGCUGUGGGUGGCGUAUUCAAGGCGGGGGGUGGGGGGCGGCGGGUGGGGAGAGAGUCACCCAAAGAGUCCAUGUCUAGUAAAUCUAUCCUUUAAUAACGAAGAAAAAUAUGCUGCCAGAUAAACUCAGCCUGAGAAAAUUUGCUGCCAGCAGUACAAGAAACACUAAGGAAGGCUUUUGGGUGACAAGAAAUUCUUCAUUCUUAGAUGUGAAAGCAUGGGGUUGAUUUGUCAAAGGGUGUGUGGGUGUGUGGAUGUGCACUUGUGUAUGUACACAAGUCUCCAAAAUUUCUUCUACAUUUUAAGUGUUACUUACUAAGGAAUCAGCAUACAAAAAAAAUAGCUUUUGAAAAACUUAUUUCAAAUUCAUGAAUUUUUAUAAGUAUUUUUUUUUUUUUGUUUAAGACCCUUUAGCUGAAGACAGUAAAAUUACUGGAAAAUUCUAAAAACUUUUUAUUCAAAAUUCACAAAGCUAAAUAAGUACAAAAUAAAUUUCAGUUCCAUGAUGCAAGACAAGAACAUAUAAUGUGGGUGAGUUUAAGUCGCUGAGAGAAGAAAUGGAGAAAGAAAUAAUCACUUUGAAAUAAUAAUUCCAGAGACAACUCCCAUUUUCACAAACUAUGAAAAAGGAUGUUCAAGCAGAGAUCUGCAAGCAAACAGGUAAUUUCUGCGUUCCCUGGUGAACAACAGAAAAUGCACUAAAGUCUACAUCUGACAAGUUGAGCAGGUGGAAUUGGAAGGGAGGAUCUAGAAGGCCCAGGAGGGUGGAGGAGGGGUGUAGUGCAGCCUCUUCUGACCACCCUCCCCCCAUUCUCAAGAUCCCUUUGUGAUGAGGGGUCAUAGCUCUUGUGAUGCUGGCCUGAGCCCUACUCCCUGCUCUCAAAGGGAGCUCUCAGGACGAAGCUACCUGAGAGUGACUUUACAAUUCAGAUAAUGAGUCCUCUCUUUCCUCUGAAAAGAAUUAAUGCCAUUUAGCUGAGUCCCAGCUCCACCACCUGGGUGAUGGAAAUAAUCCUUGCCUUUGUGGGGGGACUGGUGCUCUUUAUCCUGUUAGGCCCUUACUUCUCGCUGCCGCCUUUGAAAAACAGGAAUAUCAAAAAGGUAAGGAGACUUUGAUCAAAACACAACAGACAAUGAUUCUCUUUUUCCUACUCUUCUUUCCUCUUAUCAAACGUACGGAGAGGUGGGACAUCUCAGGAAAGAAUAGAGCGUCGUUCUUCUGGGUCAGGUGGGGCAGGGCCGGGAGAGAGUCUGCCCUAAGACUUCUCCUGUCUGAAGCCCUCGGACCAUCUGGGUGGUGAGCUUCAGGUCCCACAGCAAGACAUACACUGUGGUCGAGGACUGGAUUCCUGAGAGAGGUUGGGGACCUCUGGGCAGGAACACUAGUCAUCAGCAACCUUCUCCUAGCAGAUGCCUCUGAACUAAUGUAUCCCUGGGUGUUGGGCUGAGGGGAGGGCUGUGCUGAGGGCCCCUGUCACCGGCUGGAGUCCCCUCUGGCCUCAGGGAGCACAACCUGCCUGGCAGCUGAGAAGAGCCUGUGGAAAGGAGUCUGUCAGACCCUCAGUGGCUGAGGACAUCCAUGAUGGAGCUUACACAGAAAAUCCCCUUUUGUGUUUUCCCAAGAAGAAAACCAAAGUCUAGUAUUUUAUCUACUUGAAAAGUGAGUGAAAGAGAAGGACACAGACUUCCGUGAUUUAAAUGUAGGAGGCAUGUGACUCAGAAACGUGAGCUUGCAGCUUUUCUAUGAAGAGAAUGAGGACUGGGCACCAACCCCUUUUUCUUUCUUGUCUCUCAACAUCAGAUAGAGAAGAGGUGUAGGAAGAAAAGCAAGAAGAAGAGAAGCAUUCUGAAAGGUAAGGCUCCACCCUUCCUCCAGAGGUGACUUGAUCUCUUUUCCUGUCUCUGAGGACAUCAGUUAGAGAGCCUCAGAGGGAGGGUCCUGAGAAGAAAACCAGAACUCAGGAUUUCUCCAGCUCUGUGCUCUGAACGCAGCCUGGCGGGCCAGAAGGGGAGCAAGGCUGCCAAGUUUGUGGAGGGCCCUCCGGGUCCUCCUGUGGAGAAGUCUUUCAUUUUGCU